rnacentral:rRNA from 1 species
AUUGAACGCUGGCGGAAUGCUUUACACAUGCAAGUCGAACGGCAGCACGGACUUCGGUCUGGUGGCGGGUGGCGAACGGGUGAGUAAUAUAUCGGAACGUGCCCAGUCGUGGGGGAUAACGUAGUGAAAAUUACGCUAAUACCGCAUACGAUCUAAGGAUGAAAGCGGGGGAUCGCAAGACCUCGCGCGAUUGGAGCGGCCGAUAUCAGAUUAGGUAGUUGGUAGGGUAAAGGCCUACCAAGCCAACGAUCUGUAGCUGGUCUGAGAGGACGACCAGCCACACUGGAACUGAGACACGGUCCAGACUCCUACGGGAGGCAGCAGUGGGGAAUUUUGGACAAUGGGCGAAAGCCUGAUCCAGCCAUUCCGCGUGCAGGAUGAAGGCCCUCGGGUUGUAAACUGCUUUUGUACAGAACGAAAAGGUCUCUACUAAUACUAGGGGCUCAUGACGGUACUGUAAGAAUAAGCACCGGCUAACUACGUGACAGG